GGGUGAGUAAUGCCUAGGAAUCUGCCUGGUAGUGGGGGAUAACGUUCGGAAACGGACGCUAAUACCGCAUACGUCCUACGGGAGAAAGCAGGGGACCUUCGGGCCUUGCGCUAUCAGAUGAGCCUAGGUCGGAUUAGCUAGUUGGUGAGGUAAUGGCUCACCAAGGCGACGAUCCGUAACUGGUCUGAGAGGAUGAUCAGUCACACUGGAACUGAGACACGGUCCAGACUCCUACGGGAGGCAGCAGUGGGGAAUAUUGGACAAUGGGCGAAAGCCUGAUCCAGCCAUGCCGCGUGUGUGAAGAAGGUCUUCGGAUUGUAAAGCACUUUAAGUUGGGAGGAAGGGCAGUUACCUAAUACGUGAUUGUUUUGACGUUACCGACAGAAUAAGCACCGGCUAACUCUGUGCCAGCAGCCGCGGUAAUACAGAGGGUGCAAGCGUUAAUCGGAAUUACUGGGCGUAAAGCGCGCGUAGGUGGUUAGUUAAGUUGGAUGUGAAAUCCCCGGGCUCAACCUGGGAACUGCAUU
rnacentral:rRNA from 1 species